GCUGGGCGUGCUGGAGUGUGCCUGUAGUCCCAGCCACUCGGGAGGCUGAGGCGGGAGGAUCACUUGAGCCCAGGAGUUCUGGGGCUGUAGUGCACUAUGCCAAUCGGGUGUCCACACUUAGUUGAGCAUCCCAUGUUGACCUUUUGGGAGCAGGAGACCACCAGGUUGCCAUAAGGAGAGGUGAACCAGCCCAGGUUGGAAAUGAAGCAGGUCAAAAACUUGCAUGCUGCUCAGCAGUGGGAUCACACUGCACUCCAGCCCAGGCAACACAGCGAGACCCUGUCUAUU
ensembl:misc_RNA Metazoa_SRP Metazoan signal recognition particle RNA